rnacentral:rRNA from 1 species
AGAGAGAGACAUGCGCGCAUAUCAAUAAGCGGAGGAAAAGAAACUAACAAGGAUUCCCCUAGUAACGGCGAGUGAAGCGGGAAGAGCUCAAAUUUGAAAUCUUAAAGGGUUUCCCUUUACGAAUUGUAGUUUAAAGAAGUGUUUUCUGUUGAGGUUUUGGUAAAAGUUCUUUGGAAUAGGACAUCAUAGAGGGUGAGAAUCCCGUAUUUGACCAUUACUUUCCAACUUUGUGAUACACUUUCAAAGAGUCGGAUUGUUUGGGAAUGCAGUCCAAAAUGGGUGGUAAAUUUCAUCUAAAGCUAAAUAUUGGCGAGAGACCGAUAGCGAACAAGUACCGUGAGGGAAAGAUGAAAAGAACUUUGAAAAGAGAGUUAAACAGUACGUGAAAUUGUCAAAAGGGAAGCGUUUGACACCAGUGUUGUUUUUCUGAAAAUCAAUUAAAGAACUGUUUAUGCUAAGCUGUUUAGACUUUAUCAGCUAACUGUUUAGUUUUGAGCUUUUCUUUAAUGCACUUUUCAGUUAACAAGUCAACAUCAAUUUCUUUUGCUGUAAAAAAGCUUGAGGAAGGUGGCUUGAGAUUCGUCUUAAGUGUUUAUAGCCUCUUGCCUAUGCAGUCGGAGAGAUUGAGGUCUGCAGCGUAGAUCCUUCGGGGCUAAAUGCAUUUGUGCUAAGUUAUAGCAUUUUAUAGACAACUUGUUGACUAUGAUUUGUCUUGUAGCUUACUCGCUUAUGUUAUUUUACCUACGCUUAGGAUGUUGAGCGCAUGUCUCUCUCU